GACGAACGCUGGCGGCGUGCUUAACACAUGCAAGUCGAACGGAAAGGCCCUGCUUUUGUGGGGUGCUCGAGUGGCGAACGGGUGAGUAACACGUGAGUAACCUGCCCUUGACUUUGGGAUAACUUCAGGAAACUGGGGCUAAUACCGGAUAGGAGCUCCUGCUGCAUGGUGGGGGUUGGAAAGUUUCGGCGGUUGGGGAUGGACUCGCGGCUUAUCAGCUUGUUGGUGGGGUAGUGGCUUACCAAGGCUUUGACGGGUAGCCGGCCUGAGAGGGUGACCGGCCACAUUGGGACUGAGAUACGGCCCAGACGCCUACGGGAGGCAGCAGGGGGGAAUAUUGCACAAUGGGCGGAAGCCUGAUGCAGCAACGCCGCGUGCGGGAUGACGGCCUUCGGGUUGUAAACAGCUUUCGCCUGUGACGAAGCGUGAGUGACGGUAAUGGGUAAAGAAGCACCGGCUAACUACGUG
rnacentral:rRNA from 1 species